rnacentral:rRNA from 1 species
UGGAGGAAAGCAGGGGAUCGUAAGACCUUGCGCUUUUGGAGCGGCCGAUGUCUGAUUAGCUAGUUGGUGGGGUAAUGGCCUACCAAAGCUUCGAUCAGUAGCUGGUCUGAGAGGACGACCAGCCACACUGGGACUGAGACACGGCCCAGACUCCUACGGGAGGCAGCAGUGGGGAAUUUUGGACAAUGGGCGCAAGCCUGAUCCAGCCAUGCCGCGUGAGUGAAGAAGGCCUUCGGGUUGUAAAGCUCUUUCAGCCGGGAAGAAAAGGCUACGACGAAUAAUCGUAGCUCAUGACGGUACCGGGAGAAGAAGCACCGGCUAACUACGUGCCAGCAGCCGCGGUAAUACGUAGGGUGCGAGCGUUAAUCGGAAUUACUGGGCGUAAAGGGUGCGCAGGCGGUUUUGUAAGUCAGAUGUGA